UCCCGUGUGGCUCAGUUGGUAGAGCAUGGCACUUGCAACGCCAGGUUUGUGGGUUUGAUUCCCACGGGGGGAC
rnacentral:tRNA from 1 species